AGCGGCAGACGGGUGAGUAACGCGUGGGAACGUACCUUUUGCUACGGAAUAACUCAGGGGAACUUGUGCUAAUACCGUAUGUGCCCUUCGGGGGAAAGAUUUAUCGGCAAAGGAUCGGCCCGCGUUGGAUUAGCUAGUUGGUGAGGUAAAGGCUCACCAAGGCGACGAUCCAUAGCUGGUCUGAGAGGAUGAUCAGCCACACUGGGACUGAGACACGGCCCAGACUCCUACGGGAGGCAGCAGUGGGGAAUAUUGGACAAUGGGCGCAAGCCUGAUCCAGCCAUGCCGCGUGAGUGAUGAAGGCCCUAGGGUUGUAAAGCUCUUUCACCGGUGAAGAUAAUGACGGUAACCGGAGAAGAAGCCCCGGCUAACUUCGUGCCAGCAGCCGCGGUAAUACGAAGGGGGCUAGCGUUGUUCGGAUUUACUGGGCGUAAAGCGCACGUAGGCGGACUUUUAAGUCAGGGGUGAAAUCCCGGGGCUCAACCCCGGAACUGCCUUUGAUACUGGAAGUCUUGAGUAUGGUAGAGGUGAGUGGAAUUCCGAGUGUAGAGGUGAAAUUCGUAGAUAUUCGGAGGAACACCAGUGGCGAAGGCGGCUCACUGGACCAUUACUGA
rnacentral:rRNA from 2 species